UGGGGAAUUUUGGACAAUGGGGGAAACCCUGAUCCAGCCAUCCCGCGUGUGCGAUGAAGGCCUUCGGGUUGUAAAGCACUUUUGGCAGGAAAGAAACGUCGCGGGUUAAUACCCCGCGAAACUGACGGUACCUGCAGAAUAAGCACCGGCUAACUACGUGCCAGCAGCCGCGGUAAUACGUAGGGUGCAAGCGUUAAUCGGAAUUACUGGGCGUAAAGCGUGCGCAGGCGGUUCGGAAAGAAAGAUGUGAAAUCCCAGAGCUUAACUUUGGAACUGCAUUUUUAACUAUCGGGCUAGAGUGUGUCAGAGGGAGGUGGAAUUCCGCGUGUAGCAGUGAAAUGCGUAGAUAUGCGGAGGAACACCGAUGGCGAAGGCAGCCUCCUGGGAUAACACUGACGCUCAUGCACGAAAGCGUGGGGAGCAAACAGGAUUAGAUACCCUGGUAGUCCACGCCCUAAACGAUGUCAACUAGCUGUUGGGGCCUUCGGGCCUUGGUAGCGCAGCUAACGCGUGAAGUUGACCGCCUGGGGAGUACGGUCGCAAGAUU
rnacentral:rRNA from 1 species